ensembl:lncRNA
UUCACUCAUGAAUGCACGGCCAGGCACGACUCCAACACCAUCAUCAAGUUUGCUGAUGACACAACAGUGGUAGGCCUGGUCACUGACAACGAUAGGGAGGAGGUGAGAGACCUGACCGUGUGUUGCAAGGACAACAACCUCUCCCUCAAUGUGAUCAAGACAAAGGAGAUGAUUGUGGACUACUGGAAAAGGAGGCCCGAACACGCCCCCAUUCACAUCGAUGGGGCUGUAGUGGAACAGGAUGAGAGCUUCAAGUUCCUUGGAGUCUACAUCAACAACAAACUAACAUGGUCCAAGCACAACAAGAAAGUCGUGAAGAGGGCAUGAUAAAACCUAUUCCCACACAGGAGACUGAAAAGAUUUGGCAUGUGUCCUCAGAUCCUCAAAAGGUUUUACAGCUGCACCAUCGAGAGCAUCCGGACGGGUUGCAUCACUGCCUGGUGUGGCAACUGCUCAGCCUCCGACCGCAAGGCACUACAGAGGGUAGUGCGAACAGCCCAGUACAUCACCGGGGCCAAGCUUCCUACCAUCCAGGACCUCUAUACCAGGCAGUGUCAGAGGAAGGCCCUAAAAAAUGUCAGAGACUCCAGCCAGCCUACACAUAGACGGUUCUCUCUACUACAGCAUGGCAAGCACUACCCCCAAGCCUUAAGACUCCUGAACAGCUAAUCAAAUGGCUACCCAGACUGCAUUGUUGGUUAAGGGCUUGUAAGUAAGCAUUUCACUGUAAGAUCUACACCUGUUGUAUUCAGCGCAUGUGACAAAUACAAUUUGAUUUGAUUUGAUUAUAAUUUACCAGUUUCUCACAGUUAUUUAUCCCAGUUAUUUAUCCUGGGAAAAGGCAGUGGUUUUGAGUGGUAAAUUCCAGUAAAUCUUGGUAACCAGGUUGCCACUAUUCAACCCUAAUAAGAACUGAAAGACAAAUGAUACAAGUAGUAAAAACAGCUCAUGCAGUUUGUGGCCAUCAAGCGUGCACGUUACCUAAAUUGUGGCUGAAGCUUCAAUGAGCUGUGAAAUGAAUUGUCAUUGGAGAAAAAAAGUAUUAGUUUGAAAAUUAUUGCACUUUAUUAGUCAAUUCACCCAUAUUUAGGAACAGAACAUAUUCUAAUAUAAUUAUUUUAUGCCCUAAUGAACGAAAAAUCUAAUAUGGGCUGAAACCUAAGGUCUAAUGAAUUUGCAGUUUCGCUGAAAAUCAUGCAUUGAUGUCAAUAGGAGAUUUAUGUGAAAGUUUUAGCUGGAAGUACAGUUCUCAAGUUAGGAUUCAGCCAUAAUUGAAUAAAAUAACAUAGUCUAGUCAUAGUUAUUUAACCUGAAACUUUAAACUGUAACACUAACCAACACACUCUGGGAUUCAAUAAUGAGAUAGCUAAACAUGCAUGAGAUUGAAUGCAUAGAAAUUACAGUGAAGUUUAUGAUUUCAGCCGAUCUGCUGAGUGGAAGGCAUUAACUACAGAUUCAUACAUCCAUGGCUCUGCUAGCCAUAGCUCUGCUAUUCAUUCAUAUCCAUAUUGCGAUUCUAUUCAAUUAGCUGAUGAAAUAGGCAUGCACAUAUUUAUGACCAUUCUUACAAAUCAUUUUUGCAGUUCUGUUAUACUGUAUCUACCGGUUUACACUUCAUAUUAAGUUGCUGUAACUGUACGGUAACCCUGUUAUUAUACUAGCAUCAACAUUGUACUAACAUGUUAUCACAACAAUGCCUCUGAUGGUGUGUGCCCCAUUAAAUCCUCAUCCUGACAAUGACAAACUGUUCCAAACACGUAUGAGGCCUAAGAUGUGCAUAUCCAAUGGAACUUUUCCAGGUGCUGAAUUGACUGAACAGUUCAAGAAAACUGAAUUCCUUUAACUGUACACAAAGUGCUCCUCUACACUUUUACAACCCGAGUGUGUCAUCCCUAAAUGUACCAAGAUUAAAUGUACAACAUAGAGAAUGUAGUAUAAAUAUAUGAAUACAAGUUCAAAGAUAACUGGUAAGAAAUACUGAUGAGUUAUUCCACCGUUACCUCUAUGUCAAGCUCUGGUUGAAGAAUGACUGGACACUGAGGACUGGGCUUCAACAUGUCUGGCACUGGCUUAGUCACCGGUUCAUCUUCAAAAACAAAGGUCAACAGUUAAUCACACUACCCAUUAUUCUAAAUGUACACUUUCAUAUAAAACUCUGU